rnacentral:pre_miRNA from 1 species
AAUAAGAUUAUUUUUCAGUUUUAUGAUACAAUGUUUUGACUCUUCGUUUUAUUUGAAAUUUUUUCGAUUAAUAUUUUUAUUCUUACUAGAUGAUAAAAUAUAAAUAGUAGUUUAUGCGUGACUAAUUUUUUAAAGUUUUUUACAAAUUUUUCAAAUAAAACGAAUGGUCAAACAUUGAAACAGGAAAAUGAAAAAUAAAGUUAUU